GAUGAACGCUAGCGGCAGGCUUAACACAUGCAAGUCGAGGGGUAUAGUUCUUCGGAACUAGAGACCGGCGCACGGGUGCGUAACGCGUAUGCAAUCUACCUUUUGCAGAGGGAUAGCCCAGAGAAAUUUGGAUUAAUACCUCAUAGUAUGUGAGAAUGGCAUCAUUUUCACAUUAAAGUCACAACGGCAAAAGAUGAGCAUGCGUCCCAUUAGCUUGUUGGUAAGGUAACGGCUUACCAAGGCAACGAUGGGUAGGGGUCCUGAGAGGGAGAUCCCCCCACACUGGUACUGAGACACGGACCAGACUCCUACGGGAGGCAGCAGUGAGGAAUAUUGGACAAUGGGCGCAAGCCUGAUCCAGCCAUGCCGCGUGCAGGAUGACGGUCCUAUGGAUUGUAAACUGCUUUUGCACAGGAAGAAACACUGGUUCGUGAACCAGCUUGACGGUACUGUAAGAAUAAGGAUCGGCUAACUCCGUGCCAGCAGCCG
rnacentral:rRNA from 1 species